rnacentral:lncRNA from 1 species
GCAGAAGGAAGUCGGCAGGCGAGACUGCAGAGGGAGUAGUGCGAUCCUGCGCGCGGGGGAACUAGCUGGAGGGCAAGGCGGGAACACCAUCUAUUGUUGGGGUGAUCGGACCUAACACCAGGUUGUGGGGACAACGAAGUCCAGAAGAGUGAAAGGAAUGAGAAAAGACAGUUUGAGAGAGAAAGUGGGCCCAGGGGGCCAAUGCGAGUAUGGAGGCUGUGAAGGCCCCGAGCCCUGGAAGCCCAGACUAUUUAUUGGUGAUCAAACAAAGAAACAGGUGGUGAGAAUGUGGGGUUGAAAGGGAGCAUUGCAUUAAGCACAUGAUUUACAGCUGUGAUGGUUUAGCAUAUGCUCUGCUACUUGAGAUAAUGGAGAGCAGGUUCUUUUAACUCAAGAUACAAUAGAUCCUGGGAGAGCAGGGAGCAAGGAGCCAGCCAGCCUAGACACAUUCCAGAGGCCAUGAGCCCUGGAUUCUUUCCAAGCCACA